rnacentral:rRNA from 1 species
ACUACAUGAAGCUGGAAUCGCUAGUAAUCGCGAAUCAGAAUGUCGCGGUGAAUACGUUCCCGGGUCUUGUACACACCGCCCGUCACACCAUGGGAGUCAGUAACGCCCGAAGCCGGUGACCCAACCGAUAAGGAGGGAGCCGUCGAAGGUGGGACCGAUAACUGGGGUGAAGUCGUAACAAGGUAAC